AGGUGGCUGCGCGGUUCGUCAGGUCGCUUUAUCCCCAGGGCCGAUACCCAUCCUCUCGGGGGCUGUCCCUGUCGACGCCGUGGUGUCGAACAUAUGGCUCCCACCUGCCUGGCAGGCCAUGGAGGAUACACAUGGCCAACGGCUGAUGUGGCCCCUUC
rnacentral:other from 1 species